UCCUAGGUUUGCGACCGCCGAUCUUCUUUCUUCUGUAUCGCUCCCUUCCAUUUCUCUCUCAAAUCGCUGUUAAAUUUCAUCUUUCUCCGGCUCAGGCCAAAUUCUUUCCCCAGUAUAAGCAAAAUUCCCAACUCUUUCUGUCUUCAGGAAGCCUUUGUCAAGACUCAAGAUCGACAUUUACUGUUACGCAGUAUCAGACUCAGCAGCAGUAAUUGGUCGGUGUCGCCGCCGCCGCCAUCAAGGGUUUCCUCUUCCCUUUUUACCCAAUCUUCUCAGAGAUUGAAGAAAAUAACCUUAGGAUUGUUGAAUUUUGUACCCGAUUGAGAUCAAAUUUCAGUCUCUUUUUUUAUUCUUCUAACUGCAGGCACGAUAUCGGCAUAUUGAUUUUGCUCCAGUCUAUGGCAAUGAGAAUGAGGUAUCAAUUUAAUUGUGAAACAAAGCUUUGGAGGAGAACAUAAUUGUGUAUCUGGAAACUGGUUGUGGAAAGACCUAAAUAGCCGUGUUGCUUAUGUAUGAACCAGUUGAUACUCAAACCUCAGAAGAACAUAUGUGUGCUAAAUCCUGAAGAUCUUUGUGGUAUAUAUGGAUCAAAUUGCUCCCAAUGGAUUAUUACAAUGGAGUAUUAGAAAGAAUGUGGCUAUCAUGAAGCCUCAUGAAGCAGCCAAAUUAGUUGCAGAAUGAGAUUUUUCAUGUAAAAGGACACUCCCCUGAACUGAAAGAUUGAGUUUGCAAUACACCUGUUACAAGUUUUUCGUCGUUUAUAUUGCCGGGCAUGGUAGGAAAUGUCACGGAAUUUUCUGGCUUCAGCCAUCCGAGACAAGUUCGUCUUAGCAGGAGUAAAACAUUUCUUUGAUUCUGUUGGAAAGUCAAUCUCCAAUGAGAGUUUCGAGGCUUGAUGGAAUAGAGCCGUAGAGAGCAACAGAGAGAGCUAAGGAAACGACCUCGCAACUUUCAAGUUUUGAGCUGCUUAACCAAAACAGAGCUUGCAGCGAUGGAGACAGAAACGAUGGCGAUAGAGAUAGUAUUGUUACGAGUUAUGAACUCAUCAAUGUCUUCUCUUUUGUAGCGCUUAAUUACAAUUUGGGUUUGAUAUUUCCCAGAUCUAAGUUGAAUAAAUAUUUCUCAACGGUGAUUGUUUCGACUGUUUUAUGAAUAUGUUGGUUAAAUGUGUAUUUUUCAA